rnacentral:sRNA from 1 species
UUUACAGGCCUGGAGACUGACAUUCCUUGCUUAUGCUCAGAAAAGGCAGAGCAUAGACAGUACUGCAAAUAUCUUUCCCUGUAGUACUUUAUCACUUCUGUUCUGGAGAAACUAUUUCCAGGCAGAAUGAUAAAUGCUGUGGUCUCUGUAGUCGCUCAUUGGCUGCC